UACGAAGGGUGCUAGCGUUGUUCGGAAUUACUGGGCGUAAAGCGCGCGUAGGCUGUUUGACAAGUCAGAGGUGAAAGCCCUGGGCUCAACCCAGGAAUUGCCUUUGAAACUGUCAGACUAGAGUGUCGGAGGGGAUAGCGGAAUUCCUAAUGUAGAGGUGAAAUUCGUAGAUAUUAGGAGGAACACCGGUGGCGAAGGCGGCUAUCUGGACGACAACUGACGCUGAGGAGCGAAAGCGUGGGGAGCGAACAGG
rnacentral:rRNA from 1 species